UACGUAGGGAGCAAGCGUUGUCCGGAAUCAUUGGGCGUAAAGCGCGCGUAGGUGGCUUCAUAAGUCCGUUGUGAAAGUCAAAGGCUCAACCUUUGAAAGCCGAUGGAUACUGUGAAGCUAGAGUACGGAAGAGGCGAGUGGAAUUCCUGGUGUAGCGGUGGAAUGCGCAGAUAUCAGGAGGAACACCAAUAGCGAAGGCAGCUCGCUGGGACGUUUACUGACACUGAGGCGCGAAAGCGUGGGGAGCGAACAGG
rnacentral:rRNA from 1 species